rnacentral:rRNA from 1 species
UACAGAGGGGGGCAAGCGUUGUUCGGAAUUACUGGGCGUAAAGGGCGCGUAGGCGGCCUGUUAAGUCGAACGUGAAAUCCCCGGGCUCAACCCGGGAACUGCGUCCGAUACUGGCAGGCUUGAAUCCGGGAGAGGGAUGCGGAAUUCCAGGUGUAGCGGUGAAAUGCGUAGAUAUCUGGAGGAACACCGGUGGCGAAGGCGGCAUCCUGGACCGGCAUUGACGCUGAGGCGCGAAAGCCAGGGGGAGCAAACGGG